AAAUUAUACGAAGGGACCCAACACAGAAAAUUCAUUUUAUUGAAUUUUACAUUUAUGUGCAAGUUGGGCAAAGUGUUUUAUUUUUUUAAAGUAUGUAAAAGUAAAAUUACAUGUUAAUACGUAGUAUUAAUGGCGAGACUCCUGAGGGAGCAGUGCCGGUCGAAGACCGAGGCUGAGACGGCACCCUAGGAAAGCGAAGCCAUUCAAUACGAAGUAUUGUAUAAAUAGAGAACAGCAG
rnacentral:ncRNA from 1 species